rnacentral:rRNA from 1 species
GUGUCAGCAGCCGCGGUAAGACGUAGGGAGCGAGCGUUGUCCGGAUUCAUUGGGCGUAAAGCGCGCGUAGGCGGUUUGGUAAGUCGGAUGUGAAAACACGAGGCUCAACCUCGUGCGUGCAUCCGAAACUGCCCGACUAGAGGUAGGUAGGGGAGAUCGGAAUUCCUGGUGUAGCGGUGAAAUGCGCAGAUAUCAGGAGGAACACCGGUGGCGAAGGCGGAUCUCUGGGCCUUACCUGACGCUGAGGCGCGAAAGCUAGGGGAGCGAACAGGAUUAGAAACCCUUGUAGUCC